AGUGAACGCUGGCGGUAGGCCUAACACAUGCAAGUCGAACGGCAGCACAGUAAGAGCUUGCUCUUACGGGUGGCGAGUGGCGGACGGGUGAGGAAUACAUCGGAAUCUACUUUUUCGUGGGGGAUAACGUAGGGAAACUUACGCUAAUACCGCAUACGACCUACGGGUGAAAGCAGGGGAUCUUCGGACCUUGCGCGAUUGAAUGAGCCGAUGUCGGAUUAGCUAGUUGGCGGGGUAAAGGCCCACCAAGGCGACGAUCCGUAGCUGGUCUGAGAGGAUGAUCAGCCACACUGGAACUGAGACACGGUCCAGACUCCUACGGGAGGCAGCAGUGGGGAAUAUUGGACAAUGGGCGCAAGCCUGAUCCAGCCAUACCGCAUGGGUGAAGAAGGCCUUCGGGUUGUAAAGCCCUUUUGUUGGGAAAGAAAAGCAGCAGGUUAAUACCCCGCUGUUCUGACGGUACCCAAAGAAUAAGCACCGGCUAACUUCGU
rnacentral:rRNA from 1 species